UGCCGAAACCCCUUGGUGAGGGGUCGUUCCGGGGUGGUGCCCGGAGCCUGACGACGGCAGCCGCCC
rnacentral:hammerhead_ribozyme from 2 species